ACAAGUACCGUGAGGGAAAGUUGAAAAGUACUUUGAAAAGAGAGUGCAAGAGAACGUGAAACCGAAGUAAUGGAAGCGAAUGGAGUUGACGUAUCUGGUGCGUAUUCAGUCGUUAAAUAUUAGGAUUGCUAGCGUUGACUUGUAGUUGCGUUAGUAUUGUCUUAGUGUUUGUCGAUGCAUUUGCGUACGGAGUGCGCCGAGUCGUGCGGUUUUGUUGGUCGAUGUUUGUUAAGAGGAGAUUUCUUCGGAAAUAAACCCUUGGCAUUUUUAGGCUGAUUAAGACUGUUCGAUUUUGUAGGAUUGUUUAUGUGUGCAGCGUUGGUGAAGUGUUUAGCUUGCUUGUUACACAUGUGUGGCUUGUUUGUUAGAUAUUUCAUUGGUGUUGUAUGCCAAACAUUCUUCUCGGUGUAUAGUCAAUGACCCAUUCGACCCGUCUUGAAACACGGACCAAGGAGUUUAUGGUAUACGCGAGUCAUUGGGUAUUAAACCUAUAGGCGAAAUGAAAGUGAGACAUUAUUGUUUUAAUGCGAUCGGUUAUUGUUUCGACGGUUACCGAGCAGCAUUGCCCCGUUUCGAGAACUUGUUCUGAUGCGGAGGUUGAGCGUAUGCUGUGAGACCCGAAAGAUGGUGAACUAUGCCUGACAGGAUGAAGUCAGAGGAAACUCUGAUGGAAGUCCGAAGCGGUUCUGACGUGCAAAUCGAUCGUCUGAUUUUGGUAUAGGGGCGCAAGACUAAUCGAACCAUCUAGUAGCUGGUUCCUUCCGA
rnacentral:rRNA from 1 species